rnacentral:misc_RNA from 1 species
GAUGAAGAACGUAUCGAAAUGCGAUAAGUAGUGUGAAUUGCAGAAUUCAGUGAAUCAUCGAAUCUUUGAACGCACAUUGCGCCCCUUGGUAUUCCAUGGGGCAUGCCUGUUCGAGCGUCAUUUGUACCUUCAAGCUCUGCUUGGUGUUGGGUGUUUGUCUCGCCUCUGCGUGUAGACUCGCCUCAAAACAAUUGGCAGCCGGCGUAUUGAUUUCGGAGCGCAGUACAUCUCGCGCUUUGCACUCAUAACGACGACGUCCAAAAGUACAUUUUUACACUCUUGACCUCGGAUCAGGUAGGGAUACCCGCUGAACUUAAGCAUAUCAAUAAGCGGAGG